GACGUAGGGGGCGAGCGUUGUUCGGAAUUACUGGGCGUAAAGCGCGCGCAGGCGGUCCUUUAAGUCAGGGGUGAAAGCCCAGAGCUCAACUCUGGAACUGCCUUUGAAACUAGAGGACUUGGGUACGUGAGAGGUGAGUGGAAUUCCGAGUGUAGAGGUGAAAUUCGUAGAUAUUCGGAAGAACACCAGUGGCGAAGGCGGCUCACUGGCCCGUUACCGACGCUCAGGCGCGACAGCGUGGGGAGCAAACAGG
rnacentral:rRNA from 1 species